rnacentral:rRNA from 1 species
AAAACUUUCAACAACGGAUCUCUUGGUUCUGGCAUCGAUGAAGAACGCAGCGAAAUGCGAUAAGUAAUGUGAAUUCGCAGAAUUCCCGUGAAUCAUCGAAUCUUUGAACGCACAUUGCGCCCUUUGGUAUUCCGAAGGNCAUGCCUGUUCGAGCGUCAUU